rnacentral:rRNA from 1 species
AUGUUUCCGUUAAUCAAGAACGAAAGUUAGAGGUUCGAAGGCGAUCAGAUACCGCCCUAGUUCUAACCAUAAACGAUGCCAGCCAGCGAUCCGCCGAAGUUCCUCCGAUGACUCGGCGGGCAGCUUCCGGGAAACCAAAGCUUUUGGGUUCCGGGGGAAGUAUGGUUGCAAAGCUGAAACUUAAAGGAAUUGACGGAAGGGCACCACCAGGAGUGGAGCCUGCGGCUUAAUUUGACUCAACACGGGAAACCUCACCAGGCCCGGACACCGGAAGGAUUGACAGAUUGAGAGCUCUUUCUUGAUUCGGUGGGUGGUGGUGCAUGGCCGUUCUUAGUUGGUGGAGCGAUUUGUCUGGUUAAUUCCGGUAACGAACGAGACUCUAGCCUGCUAAAUAGACGAUUUCCGGUAUCCACAAUAGUGCUACCGGCGAAAUCAAUAUCUUCUUAGAGGGACAGGCGGCUUUCAGCCGCACGAAACUGAGCAAUAACAGGUCUGUGAUGCCCUUAGAUGUCCUGGGCCGCACGCGCGCUACACUGAAGGAAUCAGCGUGUACACCCUGGCCGAAAGGCUCGGGCAACCCGUUGAACCUCCUUCGUGCUAGGGAUUGGGGCUUGCAAUUGUUCCCCAUGAACGAGGAAUUCCCAGUAAGCGCGAGUCAUAAGCUCGCGUUGAUUACGUCCCUGCCCUUUGUACACACCGCCCGUCGCUACUACCGAUUGAAUGAUUUAGUGAGGUCUUCGGACUAGUGCGCGGCGGCCGCCUCCGCGGCCGCCGAUGCCACCGGGAAGAUGACCGAACUUGAUCAUUUAGAGGAAGUAAAAGUCGUA